CACGGGGGGAGCAAGCGUUGUUCGGAAUCACUGGGCGUAAAGGGCGUGUAGGCGGUCAGGUAAGUGGAAUGUGAAAGCCCUCGGCUCACCCGAGGAUCUGCAUUCCAAACUGCCUGGCUUGGGUAUGGGAGAGGAUGAGGGAAUUCCUGGUGUAGCGGUGAAAUGCGUAGAUAUCAGGAGGAACACCGGUGGCGAAGGCGGGUCUCUGGGCCGUAACUGACGCUGAGGAGCGAAAGCAUGGGGAGCGAACAGG
rnacentral:rRNA from 1 species